ACGUUAAUGUUUUGUAAACUCAGGGCAGUAAUCUGCAAAUAUCCUUCUUGGCCAUUAAACAGAGAGACACCAGAUAAACAAUACAAAUCUUUUUAAUUCACUGACAACUUUGGUUUCCUACAUGUAACAUCACAUCAUGUACGUAACUGUCGUAGUAUCUAACAUCACAUCAUGUAUGUAACUGUCGUAGUAUGUAACAUCACAUCAUGUAUGUAACUGUAGUAGUAUGUAACAUCACAACAUGUAUGUAACUGUCGUAGUAUGUAACAUCACAUCAUGUAUGUAACUGUAGUAGUAUGUAACAUCACAACAUGUAUGUAACAUCACAUCAUGUAUGUAACAUCACAACAUGUAUGUAACUGUAGUAGUAUGUAACAUCACAUCAUGUAUGUAACUGUAGUAGUAUGUAACAUCACAACAUGUAUGUAACAUCACAUCAUGUAUGUAACAUCACAUGUAUGUAACUGUAGUAGUAUGUAACAUCACAUCAUGUAUGUAACUGUAGUAGUAUGUAACAUGUAUGCAACUUUAGUAGUAUGUAACAUUAUGUAUGUAACUGUAAUAGUAUGUAACAUGUAUGUAACUUUAGUAGUAUGUAACAUGUAUGUAACAUCAUGUAAGUAACUGUGGUAGUAUGUAACAUCACAUUAUGUAUGUAACUGUAGUAGUAUGUAACAUCAUGUACUGUAUGUAACUGUAGUAGUAUGUAACAUGUAUGUAACUGUGGUAGUAUGUAACAUCAUGUAUGUAACUGUGGUAGAAUGUAACAUCAUGUAUGUAACUGUAGUAGUAUGUAACAUGUAUGUAACUGUGGUAGUAUGUAACAUCACAUUAUGUAUGUAACUGUGGUAGUAUGUAACAUCAUGUAUGUAACAUGUAACUGUGGUAGAAUGUAACAUCAUGUAUGUAACAUCACAUCAUGUAUGUAACUGUAGUAGUAUGUAACAUCAUGUAUGUAACUGUAGUAGUAUGUAACAUCACAUCCUGUUUGUAACAUUACAUCCUGUAUGUAACUGUGGUAGAAUGUAACAUGAUGUAUGUAACUGUGGUAGAAUGUAACAUCAUGUAUGUAACUGUGGUAGCAUGUAACAUCACAUCAUGUAUGUAACUGUGGUAGUAUGUAACAUCACAUCAUGUAUGUAACUGUGGUAGUAUGUAACAUGAUGUAUGUAACUGUAGUAGUAUGUAACAUGUAUGUAACUGUGGUAGAAUGUAACAUCAUGUAUGUAACUGUAGUAGUAUGUAACAGCACAUCCUGUUUGUAACAUUACAUCCUGUAUGUAACUGUGGUAGUAUGUAACAUCAUGUAUGUAACUGUAGUAGUAUGUAACAUCAUGUAUGUAACAUCACAUCAUGUAUGUAACUGUGGUAGAAUGUAACAUGAUGUAUGUAACUGUGGUAGAAUGUAACAUCACAUCAUGUAUGUAACUGUGGUAGUAUGUAACAUCACAUCAUGUAUGUAACUGUAGUAGUAUGUAACAUCAUGUAUGUAACAUCACAUCAUGUAUGUAACUGUGGUAGAAUGUAACAUCAUGUAUGUAACUGAGAGUCUCUGUGAUGCAGUCUACAGUCUACUACAGUGAGAUGCAGUCUACAGUCUACUACAGUGAGAUGCAGUCUACAGUCUACUACAGUGAGAUGCAGUCUACAGUCUACUACAGUGAGAUGCAGUCUACAGUCUACUACAGUGAGAUGCAGUCUACAGUCUACUACAGUGAGAUGCAGUCUACUACAGUGAGAUGCAGUCUACUACAGUGAGAUGCAGUCUACUACAGUGAGAUGCAGUCUACAGUCUACUACAGUGAGAUGCAGUCUACUACAGUGAGAUGCCUUCUACAGUCUACUAGAGUGAGAUGAAGCCUACAGUCCACUACAGUGAGAUACAGUGAGAUGCAGUCUACUACAGUGAGAUGCAGUCUACUACAGUGAGAUGCAGUCUACAGUCUACUACAGUGAGAUGCAGUCUACAGUCUACUACAGUGAGAUGCUGUCUACAGUCUACUACAGUGAGAUGCAGUCUACUACAGUGAUAUGCAGCCUACUACAGUGAGAUGCAGUCUACUACAGUGAGAUACAGUCUACAGUCUACUACAGUGAGAUGCAAUCUACUACAGUGAGAUGCAGUCUACAGUCUACUACAGUGAGAUGCUGUCUACAGUCUACUACAGUGAGAUGCAGUCUACUACAGUGAUAUGCAGUCUACUACAGUGAGAUGCAGUCUACAGUCUACUACAGUGAGAUGCAGUCUACAGUCUACUACAGUGAGAUGCAGUCUACAGUCUACUACAGUGAGAUGCAAUCUACUACAGUGAGAUGCAGUCUACAGUCUACUACAGUGAGAUGCAGUCUACAGUCUACUACAGUGAGAUGCAGUCUACAGUCUACUACAGUGAGAUGCAGUCUACAGUCUACUACAGUGAGAUGCAGUCUACAGUCUACUACAGUGAGAUGCAGUCUACAGUCUACUACAGUGAGAUGCAGUCUACUACAGUGAGAUACAGUCUACUACAGUGAGAUACAGUCUACAGUCUACUACAGUGAGAUGCAG
ensembl:lncRNA